UUCGGAUCGCGGCGACGCCGSCGGUUCGCCGCCGGUGACGUUGUGAGAAGUUCAUUAAACCUUAUCAUUUAGAGGAAGGAGAAGUCGUAACAAGGUUUCCGUAGGUGAACCUGCGGAAGGAUCAUUG
rnacentral:rRNA from 1 species